AACAUGAAGCAGACAUGCUUGAUGAAGAUGCCAUGAAGAGGGAAACAGGAAGACGGAGUUAUCUGAGAAAAGGUCUGCAUUAGGGAGAAAAUGGAGCCAUGUCUUUUCAAGAACCAGGGAACCAGACAGAUUAUUCUUCUAGCUCUGGCAUUUGAUACCUACAGCAGAAGUAUGAAGUUGCUACAGAUAAACAAGGGAUCUGCUAGCCAUGUUGGUGAAUUCAGAAAAUGAGUUCUGCUUGAAAAAAAACUCAGUUUGAAAGAUAAUUUAAAUGAGAGAGAUAAGCCACUGAAUGGAAGACAAACUCAAACAGCAUGGGAAAAGAAAAACAAUGGAAAGCAACAGAGACACCAUCUCACUCUAUCACCCAGGCUGGAGUGCAGUGGCGUGAUCAUAGUUCACUGUCGCCUCAAAUUCCUGGGCUCAA
rnacentral:lncRNA from 1 species